AGAAUGCUCGGCGCCUGCGCACUAGCCGGAAGCCGCUGACGGGCCCGCCGCAAGCGGCGGUAGAGGGCCCCACGCGUGCCUGGGGAAUGGCGGGAAGCCGAAGAGGCUCGAGGCUCGGGCAUGCGCACACAGUCAACUGCCUACCGGGUGCGCGAGAAGCCCCCUUGUCUUGUGUGAGGAGGGCGUCCCCUGAGACUGGGUUCUGGAGCCUAGAGAAACAGCUCUAAAUUCUCAGCGACAGAAAAAGCAGACCUCAAACCCUCCCUUUCCAUCCUGCUCCUCCUCCUCUCCCUCCUAGAGCACAGGACCAGCUGUGGCCCUGAGAGACACCCUUUUCUCAGCCCUCAGAGAGACGGUCCAGCCUUUCCAGGAGGGAUAGACCUCUGGGCUGAGGCCACCAUGGCCGGCCCUUCGGACUACUUGGCCCUCACGGGAGCCCCCAGCUUCUGGAUUGGGGCUGCACGGCCUCCCCUCAGGCUGCUUCAACAAGUAGCCCCUCAUUCCAUGGAUGAGACUCGCCUGCCCGCUCCGGCCUGACCGGAUCGGGGCCUGAGCGCCGAGGAGCUGGAACCCCCUCCGCCCCACCCCAGGGGCACGGCCGCCUGCGUCAGAGGAGGGGGCAGUGAUGGCGGCCGGCGGAGCCUGGGGCCCAGCCGCCUCCGAUACGGCUCCACGCAACUCUCCCUUCAUCCAGCCUUAACCUUGCCCGGGACUUCGGCAGACUGCGCAGCCCCUCUCCCACGGCCCAGUUCCUCUCCCACGGCACCCUUCCUGAGAACAUAACCUCCAGGCCAUCGAGCCCAGCUGAACGCCGCCUCUCGGGGUGAGGGGGACGGCCUGGCAGAGGAGCGGGUGCCUUCCUGCCCGCCCGUGGCCGACCUGGAGAGCUCAAAUAUAGCCGAGGCAGGUAUUUUCCGCCUAGUGGGCAUGGAAAGGCCACGGGGAUGAGAAAACUGAGGUCCAGAGAGAACAAAUGGAAUGCCCAAGUUCACAAAGAGAUAUUUGACAUCUCUGGAAGUAUUUUGGUUGUUGGAUCUGUGGAUGAACUAUUGGUAACCACUGGAUAGUGGCCAGGGUCCAGCAAUUAACAGGACAAUCCCCUACAACAAAGAAUUAUCUGGUCCAAAAUAGAGAGACAGAGCAUGAACGGGGGAGGGGCAGAGAGAGAGGGAG